CUCAGCACUUGGGAGGUAGAGACAG
rnacentral:piRNA from 1 species